rnacentral:rRNA from 1 species
GAUGAACGCUGGCGGCGUGCCUAAUACAUGCAAGUCGAGCGAACAGACGAGGAGCUUGCUCCUCUGACGUUAGCGGCGGACGGGUGAGUAACACGUGGAUAACCUACCUAUAAGACUGGUAUAACUUCGGGAAACCGGAGCUAAUACCGGAUAAUAUAUUGAACCGUAUUGUUCAAUGGUGAAAGACGGUUUUGCUGUCACGUAUAGAUGGAUCCGCGCCGCAUUAGCUAGUUGGUAAGGUAACGGCUUAGCAAGGCAACGAUGCGUAGACGACCUGAGGGGGUGAUCGGCCACACUAGAGGUGAAACGGGGUCCAGGCUCCUACGGGAGGCAGCAGUAGGGAAUCGUCCGCAAAGGGGGAAAGUCUGACGGAGCGGCGCCACGUGAGUGAUUGAGGUCUUCGGUUCGUAAAACUCUGUUAUUAGGGGAAAACAGAUGUGUAAGUAACUAUGCACGUCUUGACGGUAACUAAUCAGAAAGCCACGGCUAACUACGUG